UCUUCUGUAGCACAGAGAAUGGACGAACAUCUUUUGUUCGCCAAUUGGAACCAGAUUGGCAUAUCGACACAAAUCCUGACAUCAUCUUUCAAUUAUCUAGGUUUAUCAAGUAUCAGCUUCACAUCUCUCCGACCAGAACUGAACGGGCUGCUUCUAAUGUGUUCAACUCCCCAUCCUUGGAACAGUACUUUGGAUGUGUUUGAUGAUCCAACAAAUAAAAGAUACAAAUAUAAUCUUUAGGUUUCUACUAGGGUUCUUCUUUUUCCAGCUUAUUUAUGCUAAAUGUUUUUCGUGUCUCGGUGUACUUAUGCUGUUGUUAACUUGUUAUUAGUCACUAGUCAGAUAGACUUGCUCUGUAUCACCCCACCAUUUCAAGGGAUAUCGCUUUGUUUGAAAUUUGUGUAAUAUAUUGGAUCAAAUCCAAACUCCAACUAGAAGUUUUGUGAAAUUGUUAAUGCUUGUAAUUUACUC